rnacentral:lncRNA from 1 species
GAUCCAUGGUUUUGAUUUGAUUUAUUCGAAUCGUUCUUUCUAGCUCUUGGUCUAAUGAGUGUAAAUCAUGUUGUAAUGAUCGGCAUCCUAGCAUGCACCCAAAAGAUCUCAUCGAGUUUUAAUUUCAGUAAGUUUUUUUUUUGAAAGAGAAGAAGAGAAAAGGAGGAGAGAAAAGAGUUCUAAAGAAGAGAACCUAAGGAGUUCUAAGGCUAAGAAGAGAGA